rnacentral:rRNA from 1 species
GACGAACGCUGGCGGCGUGCUUAACACAUGCAAGUCGAACGGAGUUACGUAUGAAGUAUUUCGGUACGGACUAUGUAACUUAGUGGCGAACGGGUGAGUAACACGUGGGCAACCUGCCCUUAACCGGGGGAUAACAUUGUGAAAACAGUGCUAAUACCGCAUAACAGAGUAUCGGGCAUCCGAUAUUUUUAAAAGGAGCAAUCCGGUUUAGGAUGGGCCCGCGUCCAAUUAGCUAGUUGGUGAGGUAACGGCUCACCAAGGCUACGAUUGGUAGCCGAACUGAGAGGUUGAUCGGCCACAUUGGGACUGAGACACGGCCCAGACUCCUACGGGAGGCAGCAGUGGGGAAUAUUGGGCAACGGGCGAAAGCCUGACCCAGCGACGCCGCGUGAAGGAUGAAGGUCUUCGGAUUGUAAAACUUCUUUGAUCAGGGAAGAAAGAAAUGACGGUACCUGAAGAACAAGCCACGGCUAACUACGUG